rnacentral:snRNA from 1 species
AGAUGUGAGGGUGAUCUGGCUGUGACAUCUAUCACCCAUGGAUUACCAGGGUUGAUUCAGUUGAUCUGACUGGCUAGGCGGGUGUCCCCUUCCUCUCUUACCCCUCCAUGUGCAUCCCUCCCAAAGCCGCAUGCUCUGUCGAAGAGGACGGCCAUCCCCAACAGAGAAGGACUGUUGUUUGGUCAAGGGUCUAUGCAUAGCUGUGCUCCCCUGUUAGAAUCUCCAAACAUGCUCCCAAAAUCUUGUGAUAAUCUUCAAUCUUUUUCUCUCUAUAUGCAAUCUGUUU